UACGGAGGAUGCGAGCGUUAUCCGGAUUUAUUGGGUUUAAAGGGUGCGUAGGCGGUCCGUUAAGUCAGCGGUAAAAUUGCGGGGCUCAACCCCGUCGAGCCGUUGAAACUGGUUUUCUUGAGUGAGCGAGAAGUAUGCGGAAUGCGUGGUGUAGCGGUGAAAUGCAUAGAUAUCACGCAGAACUCCGAUUGCGAAGGCAGCAUACCGGCGCUCAACUGACGCUCAUGCACGAAAGUGUGGGUAUCGAACAGG
rnacentral:rRNA from 1 species